rnacentral:rRNA from 1 species
CCUACGGGUGGCUGCAGUGAGGAAUAUUGGUCAAUGGACGAGAGUCUGAACCAGCCAAGUAGCGUGAAGGAUGACUGCCCUAUGGGUUGUAAACUUCUUUUAUAUGGGAAUAAAAUGUUCCACUGGUGGGAUUUUGAAUGUACCAUAUGAAUAAGGAUCGGCUAACUCCGUGCCAGCAGCCGCGGUAAUACGGAGGAUCCAAGCGUUAUCCGGAUUUAUUGGGUUUAAAGGGAGCGUAGGUGGAUUGUUAAGUCAGUGGUGAAAGUUUGCGGCUCAACCGUAAAAUUGCAGUUGAAACUGGCAGUCUAGAGAACAGUAGAGGUAGGCGGAAUGCGUGGUGUAGCGGUGAAAUGCUUAGAUAUCACGAAGAACUCCGAUUGCGAAGGCAGUUCACUGGACUGCAACUGACACUGAGGCUCGAAAGUGUGGGUAUCAAACAGGAUUAGAUACCCGUGUAGUC